AACGCGACCCCAGGUCAGGC
rnacentral:rRNA from 17 species